UACGGAGGGUGCAAGCGUUAUCCGGAUUCACUGGGUUUAAAGGGUGCGUAGGUGGGUUGGUAAGUCAGUGGUGAAAUCCCCGAGCUUAACUUGGGAACUGCCAUUGAUACUAUCAGUCUUGAAUACCGUGGAGGUCAGCGGAAUAUGUCAUGUAGCGGUGAAAUGCUUAGAUAUGACAUAGAACACCAAUUGCGAAGGCAGCUCGCUACACGAAUAUUGACUCUGAGGCACGAAAGCGUGGGGAUCAAACAGG
rnacentral:rRNA from 1 species